ACCGGCAGCCAUAUCACCCUGUAGCCCAAGACGGUUUAUCCACUGAAGCUAAGCAGGGCUGAGCCUGGUCAGUACCUGGAUGGGUAGCAGCGAAACUCAAUCUGUGCAGCUC
rnacentral:rRNA from 1 species